AAGCGAGUGCUUAUAUAAGAGUGAAAGCUAGGCAAAGAGAAAUACAGACUGCACAAAGACUUUUUGGACGGGUCUUGGACAAUCUCUGGUUGUGCAGGCCUGUUCUUGGCUAUUUGGCGGAUAGAUUUGUCUUCUUAUCUGUUUUCUUAGACUCAGUCAUGGGAACGGCACCAUCAGCACCACAACUAAAAGGUAAUUCAACAUUUAACCAAAACACAGACAUUACUGUAUGUCAAUAAUGCAAUCAUUAUGUCAAUUCUCUUCAUUAAAAAAAAAACAGUUAGUUUUAUUUAUAGCAGUCAGUAACACGCACUGUAAC